rnacentral:tRNA from 1 species
GGGCUCAUAGCUCAGCUUGGUUAGAGCACUAGCCUUUUAAGCUAGGUGUCCGGGGUUCAAAUCCCCGUGGGCCCG